GACGAACGCUGGCGGCAUGCCUAACACAUGCAAGUCGAGCGAGUUGAUCCCUUCGGGGUGAAGCUAGCGGCGGACGGGUGAGUAACACGUGAGCAACCUGCCUCAUAGAGGGGAAUAGCCUUCCGAAAGGAAGAUUAAUACCGCAUAAGAUUGUAGCUUCGCAUGAAGCAGCAAUUAAAGGAGCAAUCCGCUAUGAGAUGGGCCCGCGGCGCAUUGGCUAGUUGGUGAGGUAACGGCUCACCAAGGCGACGAUGCGUAGCCGACCUGAGAGGGUGAUCGGCCACAUUGGGACUGAGACACGGCCCAGACUCCUACGGGAGGCAGCAGUGGGGAAUAUUGCACAAUGGGGGAAACCCUGAUGCAGCAAUGCCGCGUGAGUGAUGACGGCCUUCGGGUUGUAAAGCUCUGUCUUCGGGGACGAUAAUGACGGUACCCGAGGAGGAAGCCACGGCUAACUACGUGCCAGCAGCCGCCGUAA
rnacentral:rRNA from 1 species